GGGGGUGAACAGGGUUCGACGGGAGUGAUAGAGGUAAUGGCAGCAGGCCGGAGUUGGUCGAUGGCUCCGCAAAAAUCGACCGAAAAAUAAACAACAAAACUGUUGUUCCAAUGCACAACGUUAAGCCUUUCACGGCAUUUAGCGUUAUGCCUUUAGCUGCUUAACGCGGCUUCGUUUUACCUCUAGACGCCUGCUAUAUGGAUAAAACGUCAAGAGCAGGCUAGUUUUAAGCUGCUUGCGCCGUCAGUUUAAAAUUAAAUUAAAACGGCGCUGGUUUAUAAUGUAGUACCGUCCGAUUACGGGAUAAAUUUUCGGACUAAGCCUGUAGCGGCCUUACUAAAACAUUUUCGGACGCGGGUUCAAUUCCCGCCACCUCCACAC
rnacentral:tmRNA from 1 species